AGCGAACGUUUGCGGCGGGCUUAACACAUGCAAGUCGAACGGGCUGUUCCUUCGGGGGCAGUCAGUGGCGCACGGGUGCGUAACACGUAGGUAAUCAACCCUCUGGUUGGGGAUAACACUUCGAAAGGAGUGCUAAUACCCGGUAUGGCGCAGCGGUCUUCGGAUCGCGGCGAGAAAGACCCGCAAGGGUUGCCAGAGGACGAGCCUGCGGCCCAUCAGCUAGUUGGCGAGGUAACGGCUCACCAAGGCGAAGACGGGUAGCUGGUCUGAGAGGAUGAUCAGCCACACUGGAACUGAGACACGGUCCAGACUCCUACGGGAGGCAGCAGUGGGGAAUAUUGCGCAAUGGGCGAAAGCCUGACGCAGCCACGCCGCGUGAGCGAUGAAGGCCUCGGUCGGUAAG
rnacentral:rRNA from 1 species